rnacentral:lncRNA from 1 species
ACCGGGACUUGGGGAGCGAGGGAUGCAACAUGGUGCAUCUGGGAGGCCUGCUAACUGGCUAACUUCUCCGGCGUUCCUCCCGGCCGAGGCGUGGGCACAGAAUAGCGCAGGUGAGGCCCAGAUAUGGUGUCUCGAUACGGCGCGGAAGGUCAGUAUGUACCUCGUUUUGUAUAUUGUCUUGAAACUUUACUCCUUUGUAUGUUUGAAGACAUCAUUUUCCAGUUUUGGAGCCGACUAAUGAACUAGUUCUUAAGUGAAAGGCAUUUAACACGACUGUGCAUCUACAGGUACUAGGUUUCCAAGAUGCCUUUCCAGACUAAAACCCACACAUGUGAGCCGCUGGCCGGACAAACAUCUGGCACCUAACGUGGGGCUGAAAAACAGCAGAGGACAUUUGGAAGAAACACUGCUGGUUUGGAGCUCCAUAGAAGAAGAAAAUAAUUAAAGGAAAUUCAUACCAGAGAAGAACACCCCAGUGAUGGCUAUUCUUGGUCAUAAACUUCACUACAUAUGGAAAUACUAAAACCCAAUCCAUUGGGGUCCAAACCAAUGGAGGGAUCGUUCUUGAUUGGAUCAUUCAAGAUGGAAAGACCCACCUUAAAUCUGGAUCAUUUGACCUGGAUCAGAAGAUCCACUCUAAAUAUGGGCCACACCUUCUAGAGACAAUGUAUAUAAAAGAACAGAGAAAAAAGCCCUUGUUUUUGCCUGCUUCCCUUCACUCUGACUGACAAAUUCACCCAUUCUGCUGCUGAGGCAUUCCUUCACUGGUAUUAGAAGCCACUUCUUCAGGAUUCCAAUGUAGACUGAAGACCAGCUGAGACAUCCAGCCCCAUGGAUCAAACAAUUAUUGGAUUCUUGGACUAUCGUAUCAGACUAGACAGACUAGAGACUUUAAGCCUCUCUAAUAAAUUGUACAUACAGAGAUAGAGAUAGAUAGAUAGAUAGAUAGAUAGAUAGAUAGAUAGAUAGAUAGAGUGUGCAUUCGUGUGUGUGUGUGUGUGUGUGUGUGUGUGUGUGUGUGUUGUCAUUGCUCUUAUUACCCAGGACUUGAUGGUAAAAUGGUAAGACACUAUUGCUGAAGACACCACAUACAUAGACAUGGAGAAACAAGUUGGUUCUUGCCUAAAGUUUUCAUCCCUACUGUCUAGUUUUCAUGGUGCUAAAGAAUAAUAGAAACCAGGCUUACUCAGUU